ensembl:lncRNA
CAACUAAACACCCGGAACAAGAAGUGGGGAGCCGCAGUUGCAUGGGAUGACCAAAGUUUCAGUUUCAAAAGAUGGGAAAGUUCUGGAUGCUGGUGGUGGAAGCAAACGAAGCGACUGUCCUUAAUGCCAGUGAACCAGAUGCUUCAAAAUGAAUGAGAUGAACCCAGCUGUUCUUCGGGACCUUUGUGAGUUCCAGCCUUCGGGUUGACAAGACUUGGUCACCUGGACCCCUGAGGUUUCGCCAUCACUACUAGGAGAGCAGCCAUGCGCACGCUCAGGGUUGGUCCCCGCUGAGGUCCAGUCUGGACCACAGGGCAGCUCCGAACCAGCCAACGGUGAACUUGCAGUUUCUCAGCCCAUGUCCCUUGCCCCUGCUGACUUCCACUAUCUCACCAGAGGUCACGCGUCCAGGAGAUCAGAGGCCACCGUCCUGGUUGAUGACACCCCAGAAGCACAAACUCCGUCUCACUGGGAGGCUUUGCACAUCAUCAAAGGGCAAGCAAGUGACCCGCAGAGGCUUGGACGGUUCCCGGAAAAGGGCUUAGCUCAACUGCACGGCAAAGAGAUAGACUUCUGUCUGGGGCCUGGACACAACCCACAGCAGAUGCCUCAGCCCUGCAGGGGUCAGGGCCAGUUUCUGAACACAGGUGGUGACCUCACCUGCUUACACAUCCAGGGUCGAACCUGCCACCUGGUAUCUGGUGAUGGGAGCCUUGGCCAGCAACUCCCUUCCUGUCCUCUGAACGUCCCCAGCUUCCUGACUUCUCCCCUGAGGCCAUGGGAAACCAUUGUCUGCCCCUGUAGGAUUAGGUCCAUCCAGGUGUGGGCACCACAGACAGGCUUCCUAUGUUGGGCUCUGCAACUGGUCAGUAUGACCUGGCGG